GAGGGUAUAGCUCAAAUGGUAGAGCGCAUGCUUAGCAUGCAUGAGGUCCUGGGUUCAAUCCCCAGUACCUCCU
rfam:Camelus ferus unplaced genomic scaffold scaffold644, whole genome shotgun sequence.